rnacentral:rRNA from 1 species
GACGAACGCUGGCGGCGUGCCUAAUACAUGCAAGUAGAACGCUGAAGAGAGGAGCUUCCUCUUCUUGGAUGAGUUGCGAACGGGUGAGUAACGCGUAGGUAACCUGCCUUGUAGCGGGGGAUAACUAUUGGAAACGAUAGCUAAUACCGCAUAACAAUGGAUGACACAUGUCAUUUAUUUGAAAGGGGCAAUUGCUCCACUACAAGAUGGACCUGCGUUGUAUUAGCUAGUAGGUGAGGUAAUGGCUCACCUAGGCGACGAUACAUAGCCGACCUGAGAGGGUGAUCGGCCACACUGGGACUGAGACACGGCCCAGCCUCCUACGGGAGGCAGCAGUAGGGAAUCUUCGGCAAUGGGGGCAACCCUGACCGAGCAACGCCGCGGGAGUGAAGAAGGUUUUCGGAUCGUAAAGCUCUGUUGUAAGUCAAGAACGGGUGUGAGAGUGGAAAGUUCACACUGUGACGGUAGCUUACCAGAAAGGGACGGCUAACUACGUG